rnacentral:rRNA from 1 species
CAGCCGCCGCGGAAUACGGAGGGUGCAAGCGUUAAUCGGAAUUACUGGGCGUAAAGCGCACGCAGGCGGUUUGUUAAGUCAGAUGUGAAAUCCCCGAGCUUAACUUGGGAACUGCAUUUGAAACUGGCAAGCUAGAGUCUUGUAGAGGGGGGUAGAAUUCCAGGUGUAGCGGUGAAAUGCGUAGAGAUCUGGAGGAAUACCGGUGGCGAAGGCGGCCCCCUGGACAAAGACUGACGCUCAGGUGCGAAAGCGUGGGGAGCAAACAGGAUUAGAUACCCGAGUAGUCCCUGUCUCUUAUACA